rnacentral:rRNA from 1 species
UCGACGGAGAGUUUGAUCCUGGCUCAGGACGAACGCUGGCGGCGUGCUUCAUACAUGCAAGUCGAACGAGGUCCAUCCGGUAGCAAUACUGGUGAAGACCUAGUGGCGAACGGGUGAGUAACACGUGAGGAACCUGCCCCGAAGACCGGGAUAACAGUGGGAAACCGCUGCUAAUACCGGAUACCCCCACCGGGUCGCAUGGUCUGGUGAGGAAAUGCCUGACUCACUUCGAGUCAGCACGCUUCGGGAGGGCCUCGCGGCCUAUCAGCUUGUUGGUGGGGUAAUGGCCUACCAAGGCGACGACGGGUAGCUGGUCUGAGAGGACGAUCAGCCACACUGGGACUGAGACACGGCCCAGACUCCUACGGGAGGCAGCAGUAGGGAAUCUUGCGCAAUGGGCGAAAGCCUGACGCAGCAACGCCGCGUG